AAGUAUUGAGUUAUAUUGUUAUCGCAAGGCACGGUGGGCCGCCCCCCACUCAGCCGGUGUGCGCGGCUUGCGGAUCGCGCGCCCCUCGUCUCGCCGCCACCGGAAGGGACGCCGGCAAUGAGCGGCGCUCAGCGCUCACGUGGACGGCGCGCGCCGGCGGCGACGCCGCGCCCAGGACGACGUCUCUCGUGAAGCCCGUCGCAACAGGGCCUUGGGCUUUGUGCAAUAGAGGGGACCAAACCAGGGGACCGGUGCCGCGAGAACAGACCAAAGCCCCACAGAUAGCGCGACAGCUCUGGAACCCCGGGAGGCCCUGCGAGUUGGACAGCCUUCUGCUCCUUCUAUACGUUUCGCUGCGUGGAAUUCGCCCCUUUAUCGAAACGACACUGCUGCAACGGAGUCGCUGAGAAAGCGACGCCGGUAUCGCCUAUUCCUUGAUCUUGUCGCUUUGUUGGCUGCAAAAGAAACCGUCACUGCAGCAUGGAUUGCCGCGGAGGGAUGCCUUCACCAAAAAACACCCAAGGAAGCUCCAAGCGGAAGAUUGCCCCUUCUUGUGUGAAAGAAGCCGGUCCGAGUUUGGAAACCAGGCUCGCAGGGGACCGCGUGCAAGAACCCGCGUGACGUGCCCUCGGCGUCCGCAAGGCAUCGCCCGCUGCACGGCGAACCGCGUCAAGCGGCUAUGAAUCCGAUCGAUACGUUCAAAUGUCGCUCUUGACACUUUGAUGCGCAAUGAAUGCAUGGACGUGAAAUCGUACCUAGAUUUUGAAGCCGGAAGAUCUGCUGGGACUUUUGAGAUGCAGUGAUGUAAGAAUUGUAUUUUUUUUCAUUGUUAGAGAAAUAAAUGUGUCUGUUUUUUAUA